GGGGGCAUAGCUCAGCUGGGAGAGCGCCUGCUUUGCAAGCAGGAGGUCGUCGGUUCGAUCCCGUCUGCCUCCA
rnacentral:tRNA from 1 species